ensembl:lncRNA
GGAAGAACGAGGUCGAUGCUCCGCUCCCAGAUGGCAGCAGAGAGUCAUUGGAAGGCAAGAGCACUUCUUUAAUAACUGCCAUCAUCACCUUGAUCAUCUCGCAAGAACAACAUUGGAUAAGUCCUUUAUAAUUUGCAAAGUGCUUUCUAUAAUACGAACAGAAAUACUGCUCUAGAGUGAUGUGGACCUGAAGCUCCAUGAGGGCCCCAUAUCCUUGGGCUUUUCUUAUUGUUCCUAGUACCUAGCAGAGAAGCUGGUACAACAUAGGAGCUCAGUAAGUAUCUGUUGAAGAGGAAAAAAUUGGAGGAAUCUAGUUUAGAGGCUGCUGCAAUAAUUCAAGUAAGAGAGAAGUGAUGAGAAGCAUCACUUAAUCCAAGAGUGUAUAAUUCUUUGAACUACUGACUCUGGAAAGGAAAAACCUAUGGCUGCCUACCUCCAAGCACCUUCAAGAGGUUGGAAUUUAGUUAUCCAAAAUGGUUGCUGAAUAAUUGCAACAAUUUUCCUCUCCAACAUACCAAAAAUAAAAAUGGCACCUGGGUGGCCAACACCCAGUCAAGCCAGGAUUUCCUCUGUUGUAUGCUCUUUAUGUUUUUUGGCUCCUGAAUUUUGUCCCAAUGGUCUCUAUUAUGUGGCAAUAACAUUCCAUGCCAUUGUUUGCUUCAGUGUUUUAAAGGGCAAUCACCAUGCUAAUGAAACUCAGUCUUGGCUCAAGAACUAAAAUCUACCUUCUGUUUCUCCACCCCUCUGGGAAGUCCACAUGGACCCUGAUAACAGCUAACCUACAGAUGACUGACUUAUAUUAGGCUCCUUUAUAGCACUCGGGGCUUCUCUGGUGGCUCAGAUGGUAAAGAAUCUGUCUGCAAUGUGGGAUACCAGGGUUUGAUCCCUGGUUUGGUCUUGCCUGGAGAAUCCCAUGGACAGAGGAGCCUGCCAGGUUGCAGUCCAUGGGAUCAUAGAGAGUCACGUGACUGAGCAACUAACACUUUCACUUUUUUUUCACUUUAUAGCCCUUGACAUAUAUUAACCCUGUGAGGUAGGUAUGACUCAGAUGAAGAAAAAAAGAAGUCAUGAGAUUUGCUUGACAGAGGCAGACCUCAAACUUUGGCUAUUUGACUUGAGUCUACUGUUUCCAACAAUAUACCUGACUGUCUCCCAGAUACAAAAUUUCCUAUUUUGUUUCCUCCCAGACUGCCUGUGUAAGCCUGGAAAAUAAUUUAAUCUCUGAGAGCCC